AAAGCGCACGCAGGCGGUCUGUUAAGUCAGAUGUGAAAUCCCCGGGCUUAACCUGGGAACUGCAUUUGAAACUGGCAGGCUUGAGUCUUGUAGAGGGGGGUAGAAUUCCAGGUGUAGCGGUGAAAUGCGUAGAGAUCUGGAGGAAUACCGGUGGCGAAGGCGGCCCCCUGGACAAAGACUGACGCUCAGGUGCGAAAGAGUGGGGAGCAAACAGGAUUAGAUACCCCGGU
rnacentral:rRNA from 1 species